AAAAGAAGUUCAAGAUAAAAACAAGGAACUUCUGUACAAGGUUUCCCUUCUUCCUCCUCAGAGAAAAGGACUUUUUGACAUAGACAGUGAAGCAGCAGAAAUUCUGAACAUGGAUGAACUAUACACUCAGACAUACUCGCUACCUUAGUCUUGCCAAAACACACACAGGAAAACACACUCACCACGUCGAUGAUUUGUAGCAGUGUGAGGCCCAGUUCCACAACGAUGGGCGCAGAGUCGUUUUGGACGGGUCUUUCCAGGCGAUUGUAGUUUACCAUCAGGUCGCGGUACAGCUUCCUCUGGUACACACCGCCAUGACAACCUGGAGUGAAAACAGGAUGGACAAUGAAAAUGGCAGAAGAAUAAAGGAUAGAGGGAGAGGAAAAGCAUCAGUGAGACAGACGAUAGAGAGGAAGGAGUAAAAGGGAAGAGAAACAGGCCUCAUCAAGAGAUUCACACUGAACGACGCAGCGUCCAUCUUUUAACAGGAGGGAAUAUUACAGCACAAUCCCCGAUGCAAGAGAAAAACCCAGUCAGUCGUGAAGGUAGCAGCACUCCAUGGAAAACACUCUGUACCUCCUUCCCAUGAGACAGGAGAUGGCACAGUCUAGUACAGUAUGUUCUGAACAAUUUGUUUGCUAUGGUCCAUCAGAGAGACACACAGUGCUACUUUCUGAAGAAGGUGAUUCUCAUCAGUUAUUGUCUUGUCGGUCAGAAAUCAGUGACAUCUUUUAAAUCAUUUCUGAAAACUUAUCUUUUUAAAAAAGUUUUUUUUAUUAUUGCUAGCACAUUUUAUUUCCAACAUGUCUCAUCAGUUGUAUUA